CUCGGAGUAGCUCAGUUGGAAGAGCGGUGAGUUAUUUUCAGCCUUCCCUGCAUGCUGUAUAACAUACUGACGUCGUUAGUCGGACUGUAAUAGGAGAUCCGCAGGCCACGUGUUCAAAUCACGUCUCUGAGA